CCUGGGUUCCAUCCUUGGGCUCAGAAGAUCCCCUGGAGGAGGGCAUGGCAACCCACUUCAGUAUUCUUGACUGGAGAAUCCCAUGGAUAGAAGAGCCUGAUGCUAUGGUCCAUAGUAUCGCAAACAGGCAGACAGGACUGAAUCGACUUGGUACGCGUGCACACAUGGGCUUUUUAAAAGAGGGCCUAACAGUUCCUGGCACAUACUAAGUACUAAAACAAUUAUUUGUUGAAGGCAUGAAGUUUCACUGGGAAGGAGAAAUACAAGGUUCCAGUCUUCUCGGGGCUGAUACUUCCUGUCCCCGUAGCAUUCCAACAGUGUUGAGUAAGAUGGCUUCUACGUUUUGUCACAACUGAGAUAUAUCAUUUUCCCUUUUAUUUUAGUUUGUGAUUGCAUUCAUUCAAAUAAACAGUUGUCUCCAGUAA